ensembl:rRNA 5S_rRNA 5S ribosomal RNA
GAUUACGGCCAUUCCACACUGACAACGCCCGAUCUCGUCUGAUCUCGGAAGCUAAGCAGAGUUGGGCUGGGUCAGUACUUGGAUGGGUGACCGCCUGGGAAUACCUGGUGCUGUAAGCA